UGGGGGAUAAGCAGGCAAGAGAUAAGAUUUAAGCAGACUGCUUUUUGUUUAAAUCUGUUUAAGCCCUACUCAGUCUGGAGUUCCCUGGGUCCAGGCUUAAUUCCUAAUACAGCGGUGUGAGUUCUGUGAGAGGGGAAAGCUAGGACUUAAUCAUAACUGAAAAUUUCCAGGAAGCUCCAGAAGAGGUGGCUCAUUUUGGCUCUCUGUAGCCCUGCCUCUCACCGUCAUUUUGGAAGGACAUCUGGGUCCUAUUUCUGGGGACAUGUGAAUGCAGGCAGGAGCCAGGGACUUGACAGAGAUAUUUUUUUAAACCGUCACUUUUGGUGAUGGCUUUAUAUUCUAUCACAUGAUUAAAUUGUAAUUUAUCCCUUUUCAUUAUGUUCAGUCUAAAGAACAUCUUGGUACAUAAAUUAUUCUCUUAAAUUUAUGCUAUUUUGGAGUUCCCGUCAUAGCUCAGUGGUUAAUGAACCCGACUAGGAGCCAUGAGGCUGUAGGUUUGAUCCCUGGCCUUGCUUAGUGAGUUAAGAAUCGGGUGUUGCCGUGAGCUGUGGUGUAGGUUGCAGACGCAGUUCAGAUCCUGAGUUGCUGUGGCUGUAGUGUAGGCCACCAGCUGUAGCUCUGACUUGACAGGUAGCCUGGGAACCUCCACAUGCCGUGAGUGCGGCCUUAAGAAGACAAAAUUAAAAAGAAAUUUACUCACUAUUUUGUGAGUAUUAGAUUGUGGGAAACUGUUUUAACACUUUGGCAUGUUCCCUUCUAGUCUUUUUAUUUGGCAUUUUAACAUUUUUGGAAUCACACUAUAUAUGUAGUUUUAAUCCACCUUUUUUCUUAAUAAUAUAUCAUGACUAUUCUCAUGAUUAUGUUUUGUUUGUAGAUAUAAUUAGAUCAGCCUCUGGAAGCUUAAGGUUCUUCUUAUGUAUUAUCAAAUUGCUUUCCAGAAAAUUACUCCAUUUACUUCUGAAAAGCCAGUCUGAAACGUAGCCUUUGAUAAGGCUUUAACUAGGAUUUUUCAACCGAGCAACACUGGGCUUGUAUUCCUCACUCCCAUUCAGUCCUGAGUGAAAGAGCUUGGCCUCCUUGCUCUUAUCUGUUGGUCAUCUCCUCUCUAGCGGGUGGGAGUCUGAGAAGAGGGGACAUAGGGUGGGACUCGGAUUCCCUUUCUCCACCCUGUCUUGUGAGACUCAUCUAAGAGCCCAACCUAUGUUCUGAUCCUGUCCCCACCUCUCAAUAUUGAACUCUUUUCUCUGGAAGCAGUAGGCAAAUAUAGAAAAAUCUUUGGGUUUUAGAGUCAGAGAGAGCUGGGUUCAAAUCCCAGUUCUGGGACUUGCUGGCUGAGUGAGGUGAGGCAAAACUCCUUACUGUCUCUGAACCUCAGUUUCCAUAUCUGUGAAAAGGGCACAAAAAUAGGCAUGUAGUGAGAAUAAGGUAAAAGCAACUAUGUGGAGCAUAGGUGAUUACUAUGUAUUAAACAGACAGUAGUCCUUCCCUAUUCUAUUUUUCUGUACUGAAGGAACUGAGCUGGGCCUGGAGCUGCCAUCUCAGAUGAGGCAGCAGAGUCAUCACUCUCGUAAAUAGGGUAUGAUUUUCAGGGGAGGGAAGCCACGUUCUUGCCAGGCCUUUGCAUGUUUUAUCCCUCAGCCUAGAUCAGUGAUUCUUAAAUUACACUGUGCAGCAAAAUUACAAAUACUGAGGGGCCUGACAUCUAGAAUUUCUGAUUCUGUGGGUCUGAGGAAGGGUCUGGGAACUUGCAUUUCUAAGUACUUUGUUGCUACUGAUGCUGCUGGUCUAAAAAUACAUUUUGAGAACUUCUGGCCUAGAACACUAUACUACUCUUCUUAACCUUCUGGCUGACUCCUACUCUUCCUUCAGUUUUCAGCUUUGAUUUUAUUACCUCUAAAAUGUCUUUCUUAAAGCUGAAGUCCACCUUGAGCAUUUAUCCUCUAUACUUUCAAAGCUCCCUGGACCUGCUUGCUCAUAGGACUUAUGACAAUGCUCUGCAAUUGUCUUACUGCUUGUCUGUAUCCCCCAGUAGACUGUAACUUCUUUGGAAAAGUGACUAUGCCUGUCCUGUUCACGACUGUGUCUCCAGGACCUUGCUUACUGCCUGAUGCGUAAUAGGUACUCAAUAAAUACUGGUUGAAUGAAUGAAUGAGCCAGACCUUGGGUAGUUGGAACCAGAGCCCAGGGACUCAUGAGGGCAGGGCAUGUGAAAGAGUAAGUUCUAGUGGCCAAUGUCCAGGCAAGCCUAGGAAUUCAGUGCUAAGGAGAUAAGCAGAACAUUUUGAGGCUAUAGGUAGAGAGACUGGACAUUAGGAACUUUCUCCAUCCUCUGGGUAUGGAGAGGAGGGUAGAACCCAGUAUCACAGAAACUGAACAGGUAAGACUCAAUUUCUGAUUAGGAUGCUGGAUCCAUGGAUGACCCUUGAGGGUAUUAUGUUAAGUGAAAUAAGUCAGACAGAGAAAGACCUAAUCCCCUUCUGGGGUCUUUACUGAAUGUCCCAGGUGCUCAGUGAGGUUUCUGCAUGCACUCUGGCUCAGCAGAACUCAACUAUGUCCCAGAUCUAGGUGAAGUCUGGGAAUUUUCCAGCUUGAAGUUGCUGGUAAUUUCUCAGGAUUAUUGCGAGGAUUAAAUCAAAUAAUUCAAAUGAAGAGUAUUGCAGGGGGUUGUUAUCAAGAAAGGAUACAUGAGGGCCUGCUGGGGGUGCUGGCAAUAUAUUUUUUGAUCUAGGUGGUAGUUACAUGUGUGUUCUCUUUGUAACUGUUAAGCUGGACAUAUUCUGAGUAUAUGUUAUACAUCACAAUAAAAAUUAAAAGAAUGUAACAGUGCUGAUGUAUAGUAGAUGAUUAAUAAGUGGUAGUCAGCCUGAUGAAAUGAUAUAAGAUAUGCAAAAUUCCUGGCACAGAGUCCAACACACAGUGGGUUCAGGAUCAUUUCCUGUAAGCAAACUUUUAUGCAAGUACAACCUACAUAAAGACAAGCACACAAAGCAUAAGCACACAGUUUGGUGAAUUUUUCUUAAUGUCAACACACUCAAGUAACCAGAAACCAUGUCAAGAAACAGAACUGAAUUGUUGUUGCUAAUAUAAAAGGGUAAGGAAGGGGAUUUUUCUGAUGUCUUAGAAUUUUGGCUCAAUUCUCAAACCCAAUGAUAAAUACCUCUCCCCUUCUAGAGGAUGUUGUUAAGCAUACCUUCAGGGCUUCCUAAAAGAUAACAGUGCUGGUCCUGCAACUAUCAGCCCCUGUCACCCACCUCCAGCCUCACAGGACACUAGGAUUUCAAAGGGGGCUCAUUUCAGAGUCUGCCUAGGAGGGAGUGAUAUAGUUAAAUGAUGGGCUGACAAGGAGUUACAGCCCCUGUGCUUUCAUGGAGCCAGAGCUCAGGGCUAAGAACAUUUGAGGAAAGCCUGACCUAUAGACCUUGGAGUUUGAAGUGGAAGGCAGAUGUAAGGUUAGGCACUGGUAUUUGCUUCCUACCAGGCUGGAGAAGACUAUGAUGAUGUGGUAAGGAGAGAGGGCAAGAGUUUGAUGGGGCAAGGAUGGUGAUUUCCCUGGCCAAAUGGACUCCGCAUUUGAGUCUCCUUGAUAGCGUCUUGUCCCAGGGAGCUAUCUGCCAGAACUCCAGCAGUGUGAGAUAGUGGUGGUUAUCUCCAGAGGUCAGGAGAUGCAGGGGUAGAUGGCUGUAAAUUAGCCAGAGAGUACAGGAUGUCACCCACAUCAGGGAACCAUGCCCUACAUAGGUACAAUGGUGGCUUCUGAAGAACCCACAAAGGCUUCCCCUCUAAAACCUCGUAUGUGAACCUCAGCCAUCGAAAUUAGUCAAGAGAGACCACAAACUGCCCCAGCCUAUGUUUCCCUUCCCUUCCCCCUAACCUGAUCCUAGAAGAGCCAGAAGAAAAGGUGGAUAAGGUGGAGCAAAAGAAUUGCAGACCAUGCAGGCCUUCUUAUCCAGUGCUGGUUCCCAGCCAUAAGUUAAGCCUGGAGGUGGAGAGAAGUAUUGAAUUGGAUGUGAGUUUUUUUUUACAUACUAAGGGCUAGAAUUCUUAGGGUCCCUAUCUGAGGCUAUUCCUAUAACCACAGGAGCCUGAAAAACUUAUGUCUUACUGAGAUUCUUAUCCAGGGGCUAAAAACAAAGAUCCAGUAAGCCAUGUUAAAGGACAGUGUUAGGAGACAAAUAAAGCCACUUCCUGUUCGUACAUCUUGAGUUAAGUCCUCCUUGUGUGUGUGUGUGUGUGUGUGUGUGUGUACAUUGCGUCAGCUGCACUAUGAUGGAGUGUGUAAAAUUUCUCCUCCACUAUAAGGUGCACUUUUUUAGGGAUUAGAAGUCAUUAAGUCCAGUCCCUGUCCUGUGAACAGUCCUAAGUAAGUGAAGGUAGAUUUUUUUCUCUCCUCUUGCUUUUUCUUUCUUUCUUUCUUUUUUUUUUUUUUUCUCCUUUUAGGGCUGCACCCACAGCAUAUGGAGGUUCCCAGGCUAGGGGUCUUAUUGGAGCUACAGCUGCUGGCCUACACCACGGCCACAGCAAUGCAGGAUCUGAGCCAUGUCUGCGACCUACACCGCAGCUCACGGCAAUGCUGGAUCCUUAACCCACUGAGCGAGGCCAGGGAUCGAACCCACCACCUCAUGGUUCCUAGUUGGAUUGGUUUCCACUGUGCCAUGAUGGGAACUCCUCCUCUUCCAUUUUUACUCUGUUUCUGAAAGUUUUCCAGAUAAUCUUAGAUCAUU
rnacentral:lncRNA from 1 species